rnacentral:rRNA from 1 species
CCUACGGGAGGCAGCAGUGAGGAAUAUUGGUCAAUGGACGCAAGUCUGAACCAGCCAUGCCGCGUGCAGGAAGACGGCUCUAUGAGUUGUAAACUGCUUUUGUACGAGGGUAAACGCAGAUACGCGUAUCUGUCUGAAAGUAUCGUACGAAUAAGGAUCGACUAACUCCGUGCCAGCAGCCGCGGUAAUACGGAGGAUUCAAGCGUUAUCCGGAUUUAUUGGGUUUAAAGGGUGCGUAGGCGGUCGGAUAAGUUAGAGGUGAAAUCCCGAGGCUCAACUUCGGAAUUGCCUCUGAUACUGUUCGGCUAGAGAGUAGUUGCGGUAGGCGGAAUGUAUGGUGUAGCUGUGAAAUGCUUAGAGAUCAUACAGAACACCGAUUGCGAAGGCAGCUUACCAAGCUACUUCUGACGUUGAGGCACGAAAGCGUGGGGAGCAAACAGGAUUAGAUACCCGGGUAGUC